rnacentral:rRNA from 1 species
AGCUCCAAUAGCGUAUAUUAAAGUUGUUGCGGUAGUUGGAUUUCUGCCGAGGACGACCGGUCCGCCCUCUGGGUGAGUAUCUGGCUUGGCCUGGGCAUCUUCUUGGAGAACGUAGCUGCACUUGACUGUGUGGUGCGGUAUCCAGGACUUUUACUUUGAGGAAAUUAGAGUGUUUCAAGCAGGCAUACGCCUUGAAUACAUUAGCAUGGAAUAAUAAGAUAGGACCUCGGUUCUAUUUUGUUGGUUUCUAGAGCCGAGGUAAUGAUUAAUAGGGAUAGUUUGGGGCAUUCGUAUUUAACUGUCAGAGGUGAAAUUCUUGGAUUUGCUAAAGACGGACUACUGUGAAAGCAUUUGCCAAGGAUGUUUUCAUUGAUCAAGAACGAAGUU